UACGUAGGGCGCGAGCGUUGUCCGGAAUUAUUGGGCGUAAAGAGCUCGUAGGCGGUUUGUCGCGUCUGCUGUGAAAACUGGAGGCUCAACCUCCAGCCUGCAGUGGGUACGGGCAGACUAGAGUGCGGUAGGGGAGAUUGGAAUUCCUGGUGUAGCGGUGGAAUGCGCAGAUAUCAGGAGGAACACCGAUGGCGAAGGCAGAUCUCUGGGCCGUAACUGACGCUGAGGAGCGAAAGCAUGGGGAGCGAACAGG
rnacentral:rRNA from 1 species